rnacentral:rRNA from 1 species
AGAGUUUGAUCAUGGCUCAGAACGAACGCUGGCGGCGCGUUUUAAGCAUGCAAGUCGAACGGUAUACAGUGCUUGCACUGUAGAGAGUGGCGAACGGGUGAGUAACACGUAGGUAAUCUACCUCUGGGUACGGGGAUAGCCCAUGGAAACAUGGGGUAAUACCGGAUACGUCCUGCUUUGUAAUGGAGUAGGAGAAAGGCGCUAAGGUGCCGACCUGAGAUGAGCCUGCGGCUUAUUAGUUAGUUGGUGGGGUAAAGGCCUACCAAGACAGUGAUAAGUAGCCGGCCUGAGAGGGUGACCGGCCACACUGGGACUGAGACACGGCCCAGACUCCUACGGGAGGCAGCAGCUAAGAAUCUUCCGCAAUGGACGAAAGUCUGACGGAGCGACGCCGCGUGAACGAAGAAGGCCGUGAGGUUGUAAAGUUCUUUUCUUGUGGAGGAAUAAGGUCGGGGAGUGACUGCCUGAUCGAUGACGUUAUACAAGGAAUAAGCCCCCGGCUAAUUACGUGCCAGCAGCCGCGGUAACACGUAAGGGGCGAGCGUUGUUCGGAAUUAUUGGGCGUAAAGGGCGCGUAGGCGGUUUAUCAAGUCUGGUGUGAAAGACCACAGCUCAACUGUGGGAGCGCAUUGGAAACUGAUAGACUAGAGUAUAGGAGGGGAAGCUGGAAUUCCUGGUGUAGGGGUGAAAUCUGUAGAUAUCAGGAAGAACACCGGUGGCGAAGGCGAGCUUCUGGCCAUAUACUGACGCUGAGGCGCGAAAGCGUGGGGAGCGAACAGGAUUAGAUACCCUAGUAGUCC